rnacentral:misc_RNA from 1 species
GACCUCUCAACCGCUUUGGUAUUCGAUUACAAAAGUCGGCUUGGAACUUGGGUGCCUCAGGCGAAACGCACAGGGUCCGCCCUGUCGCCCACCCCAAAGUCAGUUGGGCCAACCGCGCGGAUGAGCGGACGGUUUGACCACAGUGUUGUAAGGUUCGCCUCACUGUCGGGACGUCCAUUUCCGUUAGCACGAAGGCAUUUGAAACACGAUACUAUUGA